UACAGAGGGUGCAAGCGUUGUCCGGAAUUAUUGGGCGUAAAGAGCGUGUAGGCGGCCCGACAAGUCCGCUGUGAAAGUCCAGGGCUCAACCCUGGAAUGCCGGUGGAUACUGUCGGGCUAGAGUCCGGAAGGGGCGAGUGGAAUUCCUGGUGUAGCGGUGAAAUGCGCAGAUAUCAGGAGGAACACCAAUGGCGAAGGCAGCUCGCUGGGACGUGACUGACGCUGAGACGCGAAAGCGUGGGGAGCAAACAGG
rnacentral:rRNA from 1 species